GUUGCUGCACAUCACUUUCACCUUGAAAUAUUAAUAUUACAGCAGUCACAGUGCUAACCUCCCCCAAGGCUGAGAGAGACCAGGUCGAGAGUAGCUUAUACUCCGACGGUCAGUUACAGAUCAGUUUCAACGCUCGUAUAUUUAUUAUAAAUCCACUCAAUAAACUUGUAACUGUCA